UCUCAUUCUGUGCUGGAAACACUAGGAGGCAGGAAGUUUGAAAAAACGGCCACUGCCGCCCGCUAUUUCUCGGUCGUGGGUUCGUUAUCCAGUUGUGCGUCAUUCUAAGCCGUUCUGUAAUGCAUUUAUACUGGAUAUUACCUGGAGUCAUUUAGCUGUGCUGAUGCUGUGUGCCGUGUGUUUUGCAUCAGUGCUUCGUGACAUCGGCUGUAUUGCGUGUUUUCGCCGACGGCUUCUACCACAAUGGGGGGAUCUGCGUUCGCCGCCUUCGUGUCUCGGUGCGCCUUUGUACGUCGCACGUUCGGAUAACACUUUUUCCGACGGCCGGACAUCCUUCUUGUACCUUGGCGCUAGCUGGAUGACGGGACCUCAUGAUCAGUGUAUUGCUUUCCUAUGUCUACAAGAACCGUCACGCGUGGCCUGUGACAGCAAGCUUUUGUGGGCAGCCAGUGCUCUCCUACGAAGGCUGGCCUACUCUGGCAGCGGCGGCAAUCAUCUUCAAGAUUUAUCGAUGAUCACCUUUGCUGCUAUUUGUCACUCUUCUUAAUUACACUUUCUGCAUCUUUUCUAAUCUAUUAGGUAAUAAAGUAUGAGUAUGUGA